rnacentral:tRNA from 1 species
GCCUCAGUAGUGUAAUUGAUCAGGAGAGCAGAUCGGAUAUCUGUAAGUGCGGGUUCGAGUCCCGCCUGAGGUU